GACGGGUUAGUAACGCGUGGGAACAUACCCUUUUCUACGGAAUAGCCUCGGGAAACUGAGAGUAAUACCGUAUAAGCCCUUCGGGGGAAAGAUUUAUCGGGAAAGGAUUGGCCCGCGUUAGAUUAGAUAGUUGGUGGGGUAAUGGCCUACCAAGUCUACGAUCUAUAGCUGGUUUUAGAGGAUGAUCAGCAACACUGGGACUGAGACACGGCCCAGACUCCUACGGGAGGCAGCAGUGGGGAAUCUUAGACAAUGGGCGCAAGCCUGAUCUAGCCAUGCCGCGUGUGUGAUGAAGGUCUUAGGAUCGUAAAGCACUUUCGCCAGGGAUGAUAAUGACAGUACCUGGUAAAGAAACCCCGGCUAACUCCGUGCCAGCAGCCGCGGUAAUACGGAGGGGGUUAGCGUUGUUCGGAAUUACUGGGCGUAAAGCGUACGUAGGCGGAUUGGAAAGUUGGGGGUGAAAUCCCAGGGCUCAACCCUGGAACUGCCUCCAAAACUAUCAGUCUAGAGUUCGAGAGAGGUGAGUGGAAUUCCAAGUGUAGAGGUGAAAUUCGUAGAUAUUUGGAGGAACACCAGUGGCGAAGGCGGCUCACUGGCUCGAUACUGACGCUGAGGUACGAAAGUGUGGGGAGCAAACAGGAUUAGAUACCCUGGUAGUCCACACCGUAAACGAUGAAUGCCAGUCGUCGGGCAGUAUACUGUUCGGUGACACACCUAACGGAUUAAGCAUUCCGCCUGGGGAGUA
rnacentral:rRNA from 1 species